UAGGGAAUCUCCGUGUUAAUGGGGGGAACCCUGACCGAGCAACGCCGCGUGAGUGAAGAAGGUUUUCGGAUCGUAAAGCUCUGUUGUUAAGGAAGAACGAGUGUGAGAAUGGAAAGUUCAUACUGUGACGGUACUUAACCAGAAAGGGACGGCUAACUACGUGCCAGCAGCCGCGGUAAUACGUAGGUCCCGAGCGUUGUCCGGAUUUAUUGGGCGUAAAGCGAGCGCAGGCGGUUAGAAAAGUCUGAAGUGAAAGGCAGUGGCUCAACCAUUGUAGGCUUUGGAAACUGUUUAACUUGAGUGCAGAAGGGGAGAGUGGAAUUCCAUGUGUAGCGGUGAAAUGCGUAGAUAUAUGGAGGAACACCGGUGGCGAAAGCGGCUCUCUGGUCUGUAACUGACGCUGAGGCUCGAAAGCGUGGGGAGCGAACAGGAUUAGAUACCCUGGUAGUCCACGCCGUAAACGAUGAGUGCUAGGUGUUAGGUCCUUUCCGGGACUUAGUGCCGCAGCUAACGCAUUAAGCACUCCGCCUGGGGAGUACGACCGCAAGGUUG
rnacentral:rRNA from 1 species